UACGUAGGGUCCGAGCGUUGUCCGGAAUUAUUGGGCGUAAAGGGCUCGUAGGCGGUUCGUCACGUCGGGAGUGAAAACUCGGAGCUUAACUCCGAGCCUGCUUCCGAUACGGGCAGACUAGAGGUAGGCAGGGGAGAGCGGAACUCCUGGUGUAGCGGUGGAAUGCGCAGAUAUCAGGAAGAACACCGGUGGCGAAGGCGGCUCACUGGCUCAUUACUGACGCUCAGGCGCGAUAGCGUGGGGAUCAAACAGG
rnacentral:rRNA from 1 species